rnacentral:rRNA from 1 species
CUACGGGUGGCUGCAGUGAGGAAUAUUGCACAAUGGGGGAAACCCUGAUGCAGCAACGCCGCGUGGAGGAUGACGCAUUUCGGUGUGUAAACUCCUUUUAUCAGAGAAGAAAAUGACGGUAUCUGAUGAAUAAGCUCCGGCUAACUCCGUGCCAGCAGCCGCGGUAAUACGUGAGGGAGCAAGCGUUAUUCGGAAUCACUGGGCGUAAAGGACGCGUAGGCGGGUUUUUAAGUCAGGUGUGAAAUCCUAUGGCUCAACCAUAGAACUGCACUUGAAACUGGGGACCUAGAGUAUGGAAGGGGCAGGUGGAAUUAGUGGUGUAGGGGUAAAAUCCGUAGAUAUCACUAGGAAUACCGAAAGCGAAGGCGACCUGCUGGGACAUUACUGACGCUGAGGCGUGAAAGCGUGGGGAGCAAACAGGAUUAGAUACCCUAGUAGUC